GACGAACGCUGGCGGCGUGCUUAACACAUGCAAGUCGAACGGACAGGCCUGCUUUCCCUUGUGCUUUGCGUGUACUCGAGUGGCUAACGGAUGAGUAACACGUGAGUCAUCUGCCCCCAACUUGCUUAUAAGCCUGGGAGACUGUGUCUAAUUCCCUAUAGGACUGCAGGGUGCUGCCUGUGGUGGAAAUCGAUCUUCUAGUUGUUGGGGAUGAGCUCGCGGCGUAUCAGCUUGUUGGUGGGGUAGUGUCCUACCAAGGCGGGGAGGGGUAGCCGGACUGAGAGGGUGGACGGCGACAUUGGGACUGGGACAAGGCUCAGACGCGUAGGGGAGGCAGCAGUGGGGAAGAAUGGAGAAAGGGCGGGAGGCAGAAGCAGCGAGGGCGCGAAGGAGAUGACGGGAUUCGGGUUGUAAGCUACUUGCGAAGGAGAGGAAGCCACGUGGUUGGAAGGGUGGUGACGGUAGUGGUAGAAGAAGCACCGGCUAACUACGUG
rnacentral:rRNA from 1 species